rnacentral:miRNA from 1 species
AGGAAAUUCCUUGCUGUUCUGUGCCUUCCCUGCCUCCGCCCGUCCCAGGGGAGCGCAGGAUCCUGGGCUGUGUCCCCCGGAGCCCUGGGAUCUGGGGUCUG